rnacentral:rRNA from 1 species
AGAGUUUGAUCCUGGCUCAGGACGAACGCUGGCGGCGUGCUUAACACAUGCAAGUCGAACGGAAAGGCCCUUCGGGGUACUCGAGUGGCGAACGGGUGAGUAACACGUGGGUGAUCUGCCCUGCACUUUGGGAUAAGCCUGGGAAACUGGGUCUAAUACCGAAUAUGACCAUGCGCCUCCUGGUGUGUGGUGGAAAGCUUUUGCGGUGUGGGAUGGGCCCGCGGCCUAUCAGCUUGUUGGUGGGGUAAUGGCCUACCAAGGCGACGACGGGUAGCCGGCCUGAGAGGGUGACCGGCCACACUGGGACUGAGAUACGGCCCAGACUCCUACGGGAGGCAGCAGUGGGGAAUAUUGCACAAUGGGCGCAAGCCUGAUGCAGCGACGCCGCGUGAGGGAUGACGGCCUUCGGGUUGUAAACCUCUUUCAGCACAGACGAAGCGCAAGUGACGGUAUGUGCAGAAGAAGGACCGGCCAACUACGUGCCAGCAGCCGCGGUAAUACGUAGGGUCCGAGCGUUGUCCGGAAUUACUGGGCGUAAAGAGCUCGUAGGUGGUUUGUCGCGUUGUUCGUGAAAACUCACAGCUUAACUGUGGGCGUGCGGGCGAUACGGGCAGACUUGGGUACUGCAGGGGAGACUGGAAUUCCUGGUGUAGCGGUGGAAUGCGCAGAUAUCAGGAGGAACACCGGUGGCGAAGGCGGGUCUCUGGGCAGUAACUGACGCUGAGGAGCGAAAGCGUGGGGAGCGAACAGGAUUAGAUACCCUGGUAGUCC